UGGGGAUAAUACCCCAUAGGCUAUGGAAGCUGGAAUGCUCUGUAGUUGAAAGGUCAGCCGCCUUAGGAUGGGUCUGCGGCCGAUUAGGUUGUUGUUGGGGUAACGGCCCAACAAGCCUGUAAUCGGUACGGGUUGUGGGAGCAAGAGCCCGGAGAUGGAUUCUGAGACACGAAUCCAGGCCCUACGGGGCGCAGCAGGCGCGAAAACUUUACAAUGUGCGAAAGCACGAUAAGGGAACUCUGAGUGCCUCCUAAGGAGGCUGUUCAGGUGUCUAAAAAGCAUCUGAAGUAAGGGCUGGGUAAGACCGGUGCCAGCCGCCGCGGUAACACCGGCAGCCCAAGUGGUGGCCACUUUUACUGGGUCUAAAGCGUUCGUAGCCGGCUAGGUAAGUUCCUUGGGAAAUUUGACCGCUUAACGGUUAAGCUUUCAGGGAAUACUGCUUGGCUUGGGACCGGGAGAGGUGAGGGGUACUCCAGGGGUAGGAGUGAAAUCCUGUAAUCCUUGGGGGACCACCUGUGGCGAAGGCGCCUCACCAGGACGGCUCCGACAGUGAGGGACGAAAGCUGGGGGAGCAAACCGGAUUAGAUACCCGGGUAGUCCCAGCCGUAAACGAUGUGCGUUAGGUGUAUCGGUGACCACGAGUCACCGAGGUGCCGAAGAGAAAUCGUGAAACGUACCGCCUGGGAAGUACGGUCGCAAGGCUGAAACUUAAAGGAAUUGGCGGGGGAGCACC
rnacentral:rRNA from 1 species